rnacentral:rRNA from 1 species
CAGCCGCCGCGGUAAUACGGAGGAUGCGAGCGUUAUCCGGAUUUAUUGGGUUUAAAGGGUGCGUAGGCGGGAAAAUAAGUCAGUGGUGAAAACCUGCAGCUUAACUGUAGAAUUGCCAUUGAUACUGUCAUUCUUGAGUAUGGUCAAGGUAGGCGGAAUGUGUAAUGUAGCGGUGAAAUGCUUAGAUAUUACACAGAACACCGAUUGCGAAGGCAGCUUACUGGGCCAUUACUGACGCUGAUGCACGAAAGCGUGGGGAUCGAACAGGAUUAGAUACCCAGGUAGUCCACGCCGUAAACGAUGAUCACUCGCUGUUAGCGAUACACAGUUAGCGGCUAAGCAAAGGCAUUAAGUGAUCCACCUGGGGGAUACGGCCGCAAGGGCUAAACUCAAAGGUAUUGACGGGGCCCGCACAAGCGGAGGAACAUGUGGUUAAUUCGAUGAUACGCGAGGAACCUUACCUGGGCUUAAAUGUAGAGUGCAUGGGGUAGAAAUAUCCCUUUCCUUCGGGACUCUUUGCAAGGUGCUGCAUGGUUGUCGUCAGCUCGUGCCGUGAGGUGUCGGGUUAAGUCCCAUAACGAGCGCAACCCUUAUCGUUAGUUGCCAGCGGGUAAUGCCGGGAACUCUAACGAAACUGCCGGUGUAAACCGUGAGGAAGGUGGGGAUGACGUCAAAUCAGCACGGCCCUUAUGUCCAGGGCUACACACGUGUUACAAUGGCCGGUACAGAGGGCAGCUACCUAUUGAUAGGAUGCGAAUCUCAAAAGCCGGUCUCAGUUCGGAUCGGAGUCUGCAACUCGACUCCGUGAAGCUGGAUUCGCUAGUAAUCGCGCAUCAGCCAUGGCGCGGUGAAUACGUUCCCGGGCCUUGUACACACCGCCCGUCAAGCCAUGGAAGUUGGGGGUACCUG